AGAACGAACGCUGGCGGCAGGCUUAACACAUGCAAGUCGAACGCUUCACCCUCGGGUGGAGAGUGGCAGACGGGUGAGUAACACGUGGGAACGUACCCCUUUGUUCGGAAUAACCCUGGGAAACUAGGGCUAAUACCGGAUACGGCCGAGAGGCGAAAGGUUUACCGCAGAGGGAUCGGCCCGCGUCCGAUUAGCUAGUUGGUGAGGUAACGGCUCACCAAGGCAUUGAUCGGUAGCUGGUCUGAGAGGAUGACCAGCCACAUUGGGACUGAGACACGGCCCAAACUCCUACGGGAGGCAGCAGUGGGGAAUAUUGGACAAUGGGCGCAAGCCUGAUCCAGCCAUGCCGCGUGAGUGAUGAAGGCCUUAGGGUUGUAAAGCUCUUUUACCUGGGAAGAUCAUGACGGUACCAGGAGAAUAAGCCCCGGCUAACUUCGUGCCAGCAGCCGC
rnacentral:rRNA from 1 species